AGCAGCCGCGGUAAUUCCAGCUCCAAUAGCGUAUAUUUAAGGUCUUGCAGUUAAAAAGCUCGUAGUUGGAUUUUGGGGUCAGUAGGUCGGUCGUGCCUCGGUACGUACUGGCAUUGUUGGUUUCUCCCUUCUGACGAACCAUGAUGUCAUUUAUUUGGUGUUGUGGGGAAUCAGGACUGUUACUUUGAAAAAAUUAGAAGUGUUUAAAGCAGGCUCACGCUUGAAUACAUUAGCAUGGAAUAAUGAAAUAGGACGUUUGAUUCUAUUUUGUUGGUUUCUAGGAUCGACGUAAUGAUUAAUAGGGAUAGUUGGGGGCAUUAGUAUUCAAUUGUCAGAGGUGAAAUUCUUGGAUUUAUUGAAGACUAACUACUGCGAAAGCAUUUGCCAAGGAUGUUUUCAUUAAUCAAGAACGAAAGUUAGGGGAUCGAAGACGAUCAGAUACCGUCGUAGUCUUAACCAUAAACUAUGCCGACUAGGGAUCGGAUGAUGUUAAUUUUUAAUGACUCAUUCGGCGCCUUAC
rnacentral:rRNA from 1 species